AGUUUAGCGGAAAUUAUGCUGAGACGGGUGGAGGGGGAGAGGGUGGGAGACCUGAGGAAGGAAGUGGUGCUUUGUACUGGAUACAUUGAUGACAUCGUGGUGGCCUGGAGAUCGGAUGGUGAAUUGGAAGAGUUGCGGCAGGCUCUUGCAUUGCAGGCUUGUGGCUUGGCCCUUAGAAUGGAGCGGGGUGGCGGGCGGACAAUACAUUGUCUGGAUCUCAGCUUGCGUGUGGAGAGCGGCAGAGUUGGGACUUCAGUGUGCCGUAAGCCAUCUUUUGGAGCGAUAUGUAUACCAAAUUGGUCAGGUGACCCGCAGUCGUG
rnacentral:lncRNA from 1 species